UACGUAGGGCGCAAGCGUUGUCCGGAAUUAUUGGGCGUAAAGAGCUCGUAGGCGGCCUGUCGCGUCUGCUGUGAAAUCCCGGGGCUUAACCCCGGGCGUGCAGUGGAUACGGGCUGGCUGGAGGCAGGCAGGGGAGAACGGAAUUCCCGGUGUAGCGGUGAAAUGCGCAGAUAUCGGGAGGAACACCGGUGGCGAAGGCGGGUCUCUGGGCCACUACUGACGCUGAGAAGCGAAAGCAUGGGGAGCGAACAGG
rnacentral:rRNA from 1 species